GAAGUACUCCCUUCAUCCAGAAUUACUUGUCGCACAAAUGGAUAGAAAUUGAUGUAAUUAGAACUAAAAUACAUCUAGAUACAUCCAUUUCUCUGACAAGUAUUUCUGGACGGAGAGUACAUC
rfam:Triticum aestivum genome assembly, contig: Triticum_aestivum_CS42_TGACv1_scaffold_223388_3B